UGGGGAAUAUUGCACAAUGGGCGAAAGCCUGAUGCAGCAACGCCGCGUGAGUGAUGAAGGCCUUCGGGUUGUAAAGCUCUGUCUUCUGGGACGAUAAUGACGGUACCAGAGGAGGAAGCCACGGCUAACUACGUGCCAGCAGCCGCGGUAAUACGUAGGUGGCAAGCGUUGUCCGGAUUUACUGGGCGUAAAGGAUGCGUAGGCGGAUACUUAAGUCAGAUGUGAAAAUCCCGGGCUUAACUUGGGAACUGCAUUUGAAACUGGGUAGCUAGAGUGCGGGAGAGGAAAGUGGAAUUCCUAGUGGAGCGGUGAAAUGCGUAGAGAUUAGGAAGAACACCAGUGGCGAAGGCGACGUUCUGGACCGUAACUGACGCUGAGGCAUGAAAGCGUGGGGAGCAAACA
rnacentral:rRNA from 1 species